AACCUGCGGAGGGAUCAUUACCGA
rnacentral:rRNA from 1 species